CGUUUAUUUGGUGUUCUUGGAUGGCCUGUCUUUGCUGUUUAAAUCGAUUGUGUUGCAUUACCUUUCUUGCACUUAGCAAAAAGGUUUUGCUUCUGGUUCUUCGAUGCUUAUUUGACAGAAUUUGCAGCAAUGCAAGGUCCUAUACCUUUUUAUGUUCUAGGCUGGUUGGAAUGUGUCUUGGGGAGGAGAUGCACAGUCGAUUAGUUCAAAAAACAUAGUCUUUCCUGAAACAUUUGCGCUAUUUAGGAUUAGUUGUUAUGCUUUUAAAAUUGCAUUCUAUAUCUAGGGGUUCCAUUGGCCUCGGCUGCCUCUUGGAUGCUAUAUGUAUGUUAACUGCUGCUUGCGAAGCUCUCUGUCAGUUAAUCAUAGAGUCGUGUUGUUCAGCCGUCUUGCACAACACAUGGCAAGUCUUGCUGAUGCAUGGGGAUCAUAUAUAUCUUUACUUACACAGCUGGUUCUGCUACUAGUUACUCUUGCGCCAAAUAUCCAUUUAAGUUGAUGCUCCAGCUUGCUCAUUUAGCCUGUGUUUUUUCCUGUUGCUGCAAAAAAAAAAAAAAAAAAAUCUGAUCAAAACUCUGUUCCUUUCUUGGAUGUUCCGUCAAUGCAUUUAUUGUUUCUAAAUUCAACUUUGGCUUCAUAUUGUUUUUUGAAAAAUUAGUCGACUGCCUGCUUUUGCUUAAUUUCUUUAUUUAAAAAAGAACUUGGUGACAUGACAGUCCAUUGGACUUGGCAUGUUAUGAUAGUUUACGCAACUAUUUUCUUUGCUUCUCUUCAGUGAAAAAUAAAAUAAUAUCAAGAAGAUGCUAGUUUACGCCAGCAUUGCUUUGUUAGGUAGUCUCUUGCCAGCAUUCUUUUUCUUGCUACGGCAUUAUCAGAUCACAAUUGACUUCGGAUUUUAUACAAUCGAUUCCAAUGCUACUAUCAAGAUUCAAACUUCAUGAGAUUUCUUUAAUCCUAGUUGUUGGUUCUCUGCUUUUGAAGUUAGCAAUGCUUCUUUGCAAAGAAAACAUUGAGGUUUUCACAACUGUAAUUAACAGCAGCGGAGCGCGGACACGCAUCUGGUUUCUUUCUAAAGCUAGUCCUAAGUCUCUCCAUUUAGCUUUUGUCUCCAUCUGGUUUGCAGAGGUUCUGGUUCGGUUGUACAGAACAGGUUCCUAUCCUUGUAGAUUCGUUGAGGUCAAGGAAUAAUGAAAUCAAGGCAGCCAUGAAGUUCCAAUUAAAGAAAAAAUCUUCAUAUAGGUGUUUUUGCUGGUAGUAAACUUCCUUGUCUCCUUAUUAAGGAAAAACUAGCAAAAUAUUGAAAUUUAUUAUAUAAACCCCGUAUAUAGCUACGCAUUAUAAUUCACAUAAGAUUUAAUCUUUGUAAGAAUAUAAAAUGAUCUUUCAUUAGCUUUUCCAACUUUUA